rnacentral:rRNA from 1 species
AAUAUUGGACACUGUGGGCAACCCUGAUCCAGCCCCGUCGCGUGUGUGAAGAAGGUCUUCGGAUUGUAAUGCACUUUAAUUUGGUAGGAAGGGCUUUAGGUUAUUACCCUGAAGUUUUGACGUUACCAUCAGAAUCAGCACCUGCUAACUCUGUGCCAGCAGCCGCGGUAAUACAGAGGGUGCAAGCGUUAAUCGGCAUUGCUGGUCGUAAGGCGCGCGUAGGUGGUUCAGUAAGAUGGGUGUGAAAUCCCCGGGCUUAACCUGGGAACUGCUGUCAUAACUGCUGGGCUAGAGUACGGUAGAGGGUAGUGGAAUUUCCUGUGUAGCGGUGAAAUGCGUAGAUAUAGGAAGGAACACCAGUGGCGAAGGCGACUACCUGGACUGAUACUGACACUGAGGUGCGAAAGCGUGGGGAGCAAACAG